rnacentral:ncRNA from 1 species
UAUCAACUGCCCUAGCAGACUUUGCCAAGAUGAUAGAUUAUUUCUUUUAGGAGAAAAAAAUG